AUACCUAGUGUGAAUUGCAGGGCUCAGUGAAUCAUCGAAACUUUGAACGCAUAUUGCGCUCAUGGGUGACCAUGA
rnacentral:rRNA from 1 species